AGCGGCGUGGCUCAGUGGAAAGAGCCUGGGCUUCGGGAGUCAGAGGUCAUGGGUUCGACUCCCGGCUCUGCCA
rnacentral:tRNA from 1 species